AAAGAGUUGAGGAGUCUGGUGGAGUCAGGUGAAUGCGCAGGUACUCCAGCCCCGCCCCCUCGGCCAGGUGCGUUCGAAGCCCCGUGGAUAAACACACCCAGUUCCGACUCGAGAGUUCAUUCGAGCCGGAGGGGCCGUGGAGUGUGUUGUGUGUGAACGGAGCUCCGGGGGGAGUUGCAGGCUGAGAAGAGAAAUGCACCGCAAAAUGCUUGAAAGCUGUCGGAAGGGAGGAGCGAGACAAGAAACUUUGCGUUUGCCCACACAUGGACAAACAAACUGCACAAAAUGUUAAAUUGGGCACCGAAAAUGAAGGACCGAGACUCGUUUUGAAGUUGAAAGGGCGCGUUUGAUUCAACUUCUCUGAGCGUAAUAAUGGCUCGUUUGAAGUUUAAACGGCGCGUUUGAUCAAACUUCUGCAACAGUGAUGGUAAGUUUGCUUGUUUUUUUUCUUCUUAGUUUGUAAUUUGAAUCAGUCAUUUUUGUUUCGGUUCUAUAUUCUAACUUUUUUUUCAUGGUAUUCGGGGCUCGUUUUUGAAGUGCAGACUUCGUUUGAUGGCGUGCAUGACUCCCACUAAUGGUAAGCUGUCGUUUUUUUGUUUGUUUUGGAAGCGAAUUGCAUCGAAUAGAUGUGUCUGCGGUUUCAUUUACGUAUUGUCUGUUUUUAGACACGAGCGGGAGCUUUGUUUUGGUUUUUGCAUGUGCAGGUAAGAGGUAGAGCUGUGAAAAUGGCGAGUUUGUAUUUUGUUCUCCAUGUUUGUGAAUUGCAAGGAUCCGUUUGUUGCAUAUGUUCCACCUUGUUAAUUUUUUUUCCACAGCGGUGGUUUGAAGUGGAGAAUUAUAGUUUCAUUUACGCUUCUCCAAAGGAAAUGAAGGACCGAGACUCGUUUGAUUGAACUUCUCUGAGCGAAAUGAAGGAUCAGUUUGGCGUUUAACCGGUGUGUGUGGUUAAUUGUACCGACUUUAAAAUUAGUUGCUUCUGUUUCGCAAAAAGACCCGAACUCGUUUUGAAGUUGCACGUGUGUCUUUGAAAAUGUCCACUUCAA